AAAAGUUCGUGAUAGCCCACCGAGACGAAUGAUUCUAGAACAGGCAUCGGCUUAUAUAGACAGGUCAGUCCCAAUCUUGAUCCAGGCACCAUUCAAUAUUUAGACAGAGAUGAAGCCUCAAAUACAACAUUCAAUAUUUAGACAGAGAUGAAGCCUCAAAUACAAAACUGUAGAAAAAGGCCAAAACCACGACUGGGAAACAGGGGAGACACUGAGUGAGUUGAGAUGGCCCUGUUAAGCCU
rnacentral:lncRNA from 1 species